GAGGGCAUAGCUCAGUGGCAGAGCACAUGCUUAGCAUGCGUGAGGUCCUGGGUUCAAUCCUCAGUAGCUCCA
rnacentral:tRNA from 1 species